CAGUAGCCACGGUAAUACGUAGGUGGCAAGCGUUGUCCGGAAUUAUUGGGCGUAAAGGGCUCGCAGGCGGUUUCUUAAGUCUGAUGUGAAAGCCCCCGGCUCAACCGGGGAGGGUCAUUGGAAACUGGGAAACUUGAGUGCAGAAGAGGAGAGUGGAAUUCCACGUGUAGCGGUGAAAUGCGUAGAGAUGUGGAGGAACACCAGUGGCGAAGGCGACUCUCUGGUCUGUAACUGACGCUGAGGAGCGAAAGCGUGGGGAGCGGACAGGAUUAGAUACCCCUGUAGUCCCUGUCUCUUAUCC
rnacentral:rRNA from 1 species